GACGAACGCUGGCGGCGUGCUUAACACAUGCAAGUCGAACGGUGAAGCGCCUUCCUUUUUGGUGGGUGUGGAUGAGUGGCGAACGGGUGAGUAACACGUGAGUAACCUGCCCCCUUCUUCUGGAUAACCGCAUGAAAGUGUGGCUAAUACGGGAUAUUCUGGGUCUGUCGCAUGAUGGGUCUGGGAAAGAUAUUGUUUCGGUGGGGGAUGGGCUCGCGGCCUAUCAGCUUGUUGGUGGGGUGAUGGCCUACCAAGGCGGUGACGGGUAGCCGGCCUGAGAGGGUGGACGGUCACACUGGGACUGAGACACGGCCCAGACUCCUACGGGAGGCAGCAGUGGGGAAUAUUGCACAAUGGGCGCAAGCCUGAUGCAGCGACGCCGCGUGAGGGAUGGAGGCCUUCGGGUUGUGAACCUCUUUCGCCAGUGAAGCAGGCCUGCCUCGUUUGUGGGUGGGUUGACGGUAGCCGGAGAAGAAGCGCCGGCUAACUACGUG
rnacentral:rRNA from 1 species